GGAAAAGCAUUCCUCUUAUUGGUCUCUUGGUCCACCUGACAGCUGCAAAGAGUGUACUUUAAAUGAAGCAUCCUAUGCAAAAGCAAUUUGAAAAUAAAGGAAGAGAAAAUUUAUUAAGCAUCUCCUGUUUCCCACCAUUGUGCUACAUGCUUUCUAACUAUUAUUGAUCUUCAUAGCAACUACGGAAGGAAGAUAUUAAUGGAAGAGGGAAAGAAGACCCCUGUUACCACAUUCUCUGAAAACCAUUGUACACCUCAUCUCUUGGCUACCCUUAAACUUGAAAAGGAGGCUCUAUGCAUUAGCCAAAACAUUAGCUACCCUCCGAGGCACCAGCAUUCAGUUUGCAUUACUCUUACGAUCACUACAAAACUCUUAACAUUCUAUAGCUCUACCAAAUAGAGAGCUGCUAGAUAUUAAAUACAAUCAUGAGUAUACAGAAUUGAUUUAUAGUCAUUGGUAGAAUUGCUGGAAAAAUGCAAGAGAAAACUGCAAGUUUUACACUUCAGCAGCUAUUUGGGUUCUUGGAAAGAAAAUGUUCAUAAUAUUACAAAAUAAAGCUGCUUGAAUGGUGUACUUGAAGCGUUUU
rnacentral:lncRNA from 1 species